UACGUAGGGGGCAAGCGUUGUUCGGAAUUACUGGGCGUAAAGGGCGCGUAGGCGGCACGGCAAGUCAGGAGUGAAAGGCCUGGGCUCAACCGAGGAACUGCUUUUGAGACUGCCGAGCUAGAGUGCGGAAGGGGCAACUGGAAUUCCCAGUGUAGCGGUGAAAUGCGUAGAUAUUGGGAAGAACACCGGAGGCGAAGGCGGGUUGCUGGGCCGACACUGACGCUGAGGCGCGAAAGCCAGGGGAGCAAACGGG
rnacentral:rRNA from 1 species